GAUGAACGCUAGCUACAGGCUUAACACAUGCAAGUCGAGGGGUAACGAGAGGAAAGCUUGCUUUCCUUGUCGACGACCGGCGCACGGGUGAGUAACGCGCAUCCAACCUGCCCCCAACUAGGGAAUAACCUUGCGAAAGUAAGACUAAUACCCUAUAAUUUCCUCAGAUGACAUCUGACGAGGAAUAAAGAUUUAUCGGUUGUGGAUGGGGAUGCGUCUGAUUAGCUUGUUGGCGGGGUAACGGCCCACCAAGGCAACGAUCAGUAGGGGUUCGGAGGGGAAGGGCCCCCACAUUGGAACUGAGACACGGGCCAAACUCCUACGGGAGGCAGCAGUGAGGAAUAUUGGUCAAUGGGCGGAAGCCUGAACCAGCCAAGUAGCGUGCAGGAUGACGGCCCUAUGGGUUGUAAACUGCUUUUAUACAGGAAUAAAGUUAGCCACGUGUGGUUAUUUGUAGGUACUGUAUGAAUAAGGACCGGCUAAUUCCGUGCCAGCCGCCGCCGUAA
rnacentral:rRNA from 1 species